rnacentral:misc_RNA from 1 species
UCCCCGUUCACCGGGGCAGUCCCCUCAGAGUGCCCGGCAUAACCCGGUAGCAACAGAGGGCGAGGGUUGCGCUCGUUGCGGGACUUAACCCAACAUCUCACGACACGAGCUGACGACAGCCAUGCAGCACCUGUGCGCAGGCCCCGAAGGGAGGAUGACUUUCAUCACCUGUCCUGCACAUGUCAAACCCAGGUAAGGUGGGGAUGACGUUAGUCAGUCAAAG